CAUGCGCUGACCAGAAAUCACCACAGUGCUGCCUGAUCCUUUUCUCUCCUAACUCCAAAAGUACAGGCAUAUCGAACAUGUGGUCAGGUUGAAUCACUUCUGCUCAGGAUAUUGAGUGGUUUUUAUUCCCCUGGGAAAUGGAGUUAGGAAAACAUGAAAGCAAAGUCUCAGGAAGAGCAGCUUCAGAGGAAAAGCAAACGGUCAUUUCUCAAGAACCUGGAACCAAACCAUUGACCUUCACAUUUGUGCCAUCCAUUGGACGACUUCCAACUCAUUUUGAGGUUGUGGAUAUUUCUGAGUUCCUUGUGACAGUUCCAGAGGAACCAACAGAUCUGAGCAAUCAAGAAAUUUUAAAUAAGUCUAACACAGUCUCCCAUGAGCUGGCCUUAAAGAGUGGGGCCAGACAAGCCUGUGUGUCCACUGUCUGUGCAGACAACACGCAAACGGCUUUCCAGUCCCUGGGGUGUAAUUCAAGCAAAGGAGAAAUGCAGGAGAAUGACCUUUUUAAGGCUGAGUUCAUCCUGAUUACGGACUCCGGUGAUGAAGAUGAAGUAACUGCUGCCUCGAACAAUGUUCAUCGGCCUUCCAAUGGUUAUGGUCCCAUCAGUGCUCAGCUGCUGACCACAUCCCAUGUUUCCUCUGGCACCGGGGCAGGGAAACCUCCUGGCGAUGGGCACCUUCCAGGUGCUGUGCUUUCCCACAGUACUACUGAUCCACAAAAACAUCAGUUAAUUUCUACUCUUUCCACCUCUGAUCAUCUUUCCUCUAAACCACCUGCUGUCCACUUAAUUUCUCCAAUUAAUCAGAAAGUAGCAUGUGGUGCCAUGGUUAACAUGAAUCAAGCCUCUUCGCUGGAAGAUUCCUGUAACAACUGGCAGUCAGCAACUGGGUUUUCUAAGCAAGACUCAUCUCUCUACUUUCAGUCUGCUUCCCAUAGUUCACAUCCCUCCAUGUCUAAAAUAUCCUCUUCUGCAUCAAAGAGUUGGUACUCCACUCCUCAAUUGUCUGAUAACCUACAAACACCAAGUCUCUAUACUCCUGGCUGUGUUUGCAAAAUGGGAGACUUCACCACAUCCUCUGUUCCAGCAAAGAGCUCAAGUCUUUUCCCCAGUCCUCCAUGUUCAGCUGAAAUACAAGGAUCCUCAGCUCAGACUUCAUCCCCCAGUUCUUCCAAAAGACUGAAUGCUUUAUCUCCUCUCCCUGUACAUAUAAUAACACAUUCAUUAUCUCCUACUCCUAAACCUUUGUCUCCACCCUCUCUUUAUGGUUCCUCUUCAACAAUAUGUAGUAUAAAUGAGCCUUGUGCACAAAUGUCAUCUAGAGGAAAUUUAGCAAAGUCAGGAGUCAAAUCCCCUCUGCCAACCAGACUGACUCUCUUAACUGCUAUUUUGAGAUCAGGCUCCUCUCAGCGGAGACCACUUUCUCCUGCUUCUUGUCCCACAUUUUCUCGUAGCUCCCUCGGUUCGUCAACACUUGCAAUAGAUCAAAAGUCCAAAACAACUCCCCCAACUCCCAAGAAAUCUGUUUCAAGCCCUCCUAUAUGGCCAGAUUCUCCCAAUAGAGAGGAUUGCUGGCUUUCAGGAUGGGCUCAGCAUCUGCCUUUUCCCUCCAAGCCUCAUCCCACCCCUCGAGCGAGGUCCCUUUCUCCUAAAAAGCACCUUCCAGUUCAAACACUUUCUCCAGACUCCCAGAGUUCUCUGUCAUCCCUCGCCUCCUAUCAUAGAACAUCAGUUGUCUCUCCAGAUUUGCAAUCUACACUGCUUCCUCCUUGUGCCCCAGCUCCCUCUUCCUUAGCUCCUUCUCCAGAAGGGCUGCGGUAUGCUGCCUCCAGAUCCCAGGCACCUCAGAAGUCUCAGAGAGUACACACUUACUCACCCAUCUUUACCCGCCGGUCAUAUCCUUUGCUUUCUUCUACCAAUCUUAGUGGUGUAUUCUCCCCCACCCUAGAAAAACACUCAUCUCCUACCCCAAGUCUUUCGCACUCAUCUUCUAGAUCUAAGUCAGAUUCAUCCCAAAUGUCUGUUCAGGACAUGAGUGCCUCCUCUCCUACCCCUUCCAGUGUCCCAAAGAGGUGGUCUCUCCCACAGCCUCACUCUACCCCACCAGUUCCACAAACUGGUAAUAUUAAUUCCCACCCACUGCAGUUUAAUUCUUCAUUGGUGCAUGCAAGUUAUAGGUCUAAUUCCUCCUCUCCAAGACCUGAGCAAUCUGCCACCUCACCGGUGCUAAAGUGCAGAUCUCCCAUCUCAGAAAAGUCACCAGGUAUACUGCCAUCAAGACCCAGAGAGCUGACUUCACCACAGUCUUUUUCCCUGCCUUCUGACCAUGAAAACAUCAAACCCAAGCAGUACAAGAUCAAGACAAGCUACAAGGCAUUUGCAGCAAUCCCUACAAACACAUUGCUUAUGGAACAGAAGGCAUUAGAAGAGCCAACGAAGCCUGUGAGUGUGACUGAAGGCACUGCUUUGGACACUCAUUCAGAGAUGUGCUCCCCUGUCCAGCUUAGACAACAAACAGAAGAGCUGUGUGCUGUCAUUGAUCAAGUCCUGCAGGACCCAUUGACUAUGCGCCGGUGUGAGUCUUCUCCAAGUUUUCUGCAGAUGAGCAUGGAGUCAGAUGUUGGCAAGAUGUCAACAACGCUUCAGAAAGCAGCUGGGCGUGAAACCAAAUAUGCCAGCCUUUACAAAUCGGUGCCUAUGGUAACAGAGAGUCAGAUGACAAAACCCGGUGUCAUUCGUCCUGUGCUGGUGAAAGGAAAGAGUGCACAGCAAAAGGAGGAGCCCUAUCAACCUAAUCCUUUUAAAAAGUACCUUGAAGAAAUCAGUGAUCAAGGUAUUGAGCAGAAGCCCAGUCAUCCCAUGAUGCCUAUUCCAGAAAAUGAGACACUCAGCUCUAAGGAGAAUUGGAUGUUAUGAUGCUUUCCCUUUCUAGUGCAUUAAAAAAAGGCAAGGUUUCCAAAGAAAGAGGUUCUGUUUAGCUCUGAUGCCCCAAAUUAGGAUCAAGAGCUGAAACUGAAUUUUGAGGCCUGUUUCUGUACUGAGAAAGAAUCCACACCACAAAUGUUAUUUAAAGCACCAUUAAAAAAAAAUUGCUUCCAGUAUGAUAAUUGUAAAGCAGUAAUAACAAUCAAAUAUUCUUUCAAGAGAUAAUCUUAUAUAAUAGCAUAAUUAACCCCAGAGCUACACGCUUGAAUAUGCCAUUUCUUGAAAUGCUUGUUGUUUUAAGAGAUGCCCAAUAUAACACAGCAUAUUUUAUUUAGGAAUAAUAUAAAUGUUGAAAUUAAAUAAAGCUGUAUUUUUGUUGCAAA